rnacentral:rRNA from 1 species
AACGAACGCUGGCGGCAUGCCUAACACAUGCCAGUCGAACGAGACCUUCGGGUCUAGUGGCGCACGGGUGCGUAACGCGUGGGAACCUGCCCUUAGGUUCGGAAUAACCCCCCGAAAGGGGUGCUAAUACCGGAUAAUGUCUUCGGACCAAAGAUUUAUCGCCUUUGGAUGGGCCCGCGUUGGAUUAGCUAGUUGGUAGGGUAAAAGCCUACCAAGGCGACGAUCCAUAGCUGGUCUGAGAGGAUGAUCAGCCACACUGGGACUGAGACACGGCCCAGACUCCUACGGGAGGCAGCAGUGGGGAAUAUUGGACAAUGGGCGAAAGCCUGAUCCAGCAAUGCCGCGUGAGUGAUGAAGGCCUUAGGGUUGUAAAGCUCUUUUACCCGGGAUGAUAAUGACAGUACCGGGAGAAUAAGCUCCGGCUAACUCCGUG